AGAGUUCGAUUCUGGCUCAGGAUGAACGCUGGCGGCGUGCUUAACACAUGCAAGUCGAACGAAGCACUUCAUAAAGUUUACUUUAAGAAGUGACUUAGUGGCGGACGGGUGAGUAACGCGUGGGUAACCUGCCUUACACAGGGGGAUAACAGUUAGAAAUGACUGCUAAUACCGCAUAAAACAGCAGAGUCGCAUGACUCAACUGUCAAAGAUUUAUCGGUGUAAGAUGGACCCGCGUCUGAUUAGCUAGUUGGUGGGGUAACGGCCUACCAAGGCGACGAUCAGUAGCCGGCCUGAGAGGGUGAACGGCCACAUUGGGACUGAGACACGGCCCAA
rnacentral:rRNA from 1 species